AAUAUCAUCUACUAUUUCGGUAGAGGGAAUGUAGUCACUGAUGCACUGAGCUGAACGGAGUCCACAGUGUUGGCCCAAACCAUGGUCUCUAGUUGGAAGUUAGUAGAUGUUAUGCAGGUACUCCACCUCUAUGACUAUGACAAUGGUGCCUAUCUCAUCCAUAUUCGAGCUUUGUUUGCUCUUUUCAUGAAGAUUUGGAAACUCAGUCCACAGACCAAGAAUCACCAAAACUUUAAGUU
rnacentral:lncRNA from 1 species